AUUGAACGCUGGCGGCAUGCCUUACACAUGCAGGUCGAACGGCAGCGCGGGGCAACCUGGCGGCGAGUGGCGAACGGGUGAGUAAUAUAUCGGAACAUACCCUAGAGUGGGGAUAACGUAGCGAAAGUUACGCUAAUACCGCAUACGCACUAAGGUGGAAAGUGGGGGAUCUUCGGACCUCAUGCUCAUGGAGUGGCCGAUAUCUGAUUAGCUAGUUGGUGAGGUAAAGGCUCACCAAGGCGACGAUCAGUAGCUGGUUUGAGAGAACGACCAGCCACACUGGAACUGAGACACGGUCCAGACUCCUACGGAGGCAGCAGUGGGGAAUUUUGGACAAUGGGGGCAACCCUGAUCCAGCAAUGCCGCGUGAGUGAAGAAGGCC
rnacentral:rRNA from 1 species